rnacentral:rRNA from 1 species
AUUAAACGCUGGCGGCAUGCCUUACACAUGCAAGUCGAACGGUAACAGGUCUUCGGAUGCUGACGAGUGGCGAACGGGUGAGUAAUACAUCGGAACGUGCCUAGUAGUGGGGGAUAACUACUCGAAAGAGUGGCUAAUACCGCAUGAGAUCUACGGAUGAAAGCAGGGGAUCGCAAGACCUUGUGCUACUAGAGCGGCCGAUGGCAGGUUAGGUAGUUGGUGGGAUAAAAGCUACCAAGCCGACGAUCUGUAGCUGGUCUGAGAGGACGAUCGGCCACACUGGGACAGAGACACGGCCCAGACUCCUACGGGAGGCAGCAGUGGGGAAUUUUGGACAAUGGGCGCAAGCCUGAGCCAGCAAUGCCGCGUGCAGGAUGAAGGCCUUCGGGUUGUAAACUGCUUUUGUACGGAACGAAAAGCCCUGGGUUAAUACCCUGGGGUCAUGACGGUACCGUAAGAAUAAGCACCGGCUAACUACGUGCCAGCCGCCGCGGUAAAAC